GUUUCAAAUGUCUCUCACUGGAAGGAUGCUGGUCCAGGGCUGGACAGAAUGGAGGCCCAAGCCUAGAUUCAUCCUACAUGCAUUUGGGCUUCAUCCAAUGGGCUUCACUUCUCAGAGGAGAGCUCUGAUGAGGCAAUCAAGGACGAGAAGCUGGAGGCAGAGCUCUUUAUUGCCUAUAAGCGUGCUGCUGACCCUCAGGCUGAUUUGGAUGGUGAAUACUACUAGUCAUGCCUUGACAUGCAGUAUCUAUGCACUGGAUGGAGCCGAAGAAACUCAGCUGAUGGUCCUUACUCCCAAAGGCAGAGCAAAGAUGACAAAAACAGAGUUGCAGUUCUUCUGACAAGGAGGAUCUUUAGUGGAUUUUUCACUCUUCUUACUACAGUGGCUUUAAAGAGCAGGAUAUAGUGGGGUCCACUGUGCUUUCUUGGAGAAAUU
rnacentral:lncRNA from 1 species